rnacentral:rRNA from 1 species
UACGGAGGGUGCAAGCGUUAUCCGGAUUCACUGGGCUUAAAGGGCGUGUAGGCGGGCUAUUAAGUCAGUGGUGAAAUCUCCGGGCUCAACCCGGAAACUGCCAUUGAUACUAUUAGUCUUGAAUAUCGUUGAGGUAGGCGGAAUAUAUCAUGUAGCGGUGAAAUGCAUAGAUAUGAUAUAGAACACCGAUUGCGAAGGCAGCUUGCUAAACGAUGAUUGACGCUGAGGCACGAAAGCGUGGUGAUCAAACAGG